rnacentral:rRNA from 1 species
CCUACGGGGGGCAGCAGUGGGGGAUAUUGCACAAUGGGGGGAACCCUGAUGCAGCGACGCCGCGUGUGGGAAGACGGUCCUCUGGAUUGUAAACCACUGUCCCAAGGGACGAAAAUGACGGUACCUGGGGAGGAAGCUCCGGCUAACUACGUGCCAGCAGCCGCGGUAAUACGUAGGGAGCGAGCGUUGUCCGGAAUUACUGGGUGUAAAGGGAGCGUAGGCGGGGAUGGAAGUUGGGUGUAAAAACUACCGGCUCAACUGGUAGUCGCACUCGAAACUGCAGCUCUUGAGUGAAGUAGAGGCAGGCGGAAUUCCUAGUGUAGCGGUGAAAUGCGUAGAUAUUAGGAGGAACACCAGUGGCGAAGGCAGCCUGCUGGGCUUUUACUGACGCUGAGGCUCGAAAGUGUGGGGAGCAAACAGGAUUAGAUACCCUAGUAGUC